CAAUAGCGUAUAUUAAAGUUGUUGCAGUUAAAAGCUCGUAGUUGGAUUUCUGGCAGCGUGACUCCGGCCGGCAUGACGUCGGGUCCAGAGCGCGCUACCAUCCUUCUGUCAACCUUCGCGGGAUUUGUUUCCCGCCCUGGGGCUCAGAUAUUUUAUCCUUGAGAAAAUUAGAGUGAUUUCAGGCAGGUCUUUCGCCGGAAUUACAUUAGCAUGGAAUAAUAGAAAAGGACUUCAAACCUCUUCUGUUGGUCUGAGAGGCUGUAGUAAUGAUUAAUAGGGAUAGUUGGGGGCAUUAGUACUUGACUGGUCAGAGGUGAAAUUCUCCGAUUUGU
rnacentral:rRNA from 1 species